rnacentral:rRNA from 1 species
AACGAACGCUGGCGGCAGGCUUAACACAUGCAAGUCGAACGCACCGCAAGGUGAGUGGCAGACGGGUGAGUAACACGUGGGGAUCUGCCCAAUGGUACGGAAUAGCUCCGGGAAACUGGAAUUAAUACCGUAUGAGCCCGCAAGGGGAAAGAUUUAUCGCCAUUGGAUGAACCCGCGUCGGAUUAGCUAGUUGGUGUGGUAAAGGCGCACCAAGGCGACGAUCCGUAGCUGGUCUGAGAGGAUGAUCAGCCGAACUGGGACUGAGACACGGCCCAGACGCCUACGGGAGGCAGCAGUGGGGAAUAUUGGACAAUGGGCGCAAGCCUGAUCCAGCCCUGCCGCGUGAGUAAUGAAGGCCUUAGGGUUGUAAAGCUCUUUCGCCGACGAAGAUAAUGACGGUAGUCGGAGAAGAAGCCCCGGCUAACUUCGUGCCAGCAGCCGCCGUAACAC